rnacentral:tRNA from 1 species
GGUCGUGUAGUACAAUGGAUAGUAUAAGAGUUUCCGAAGCUCCAGAUCCUAGUUCGAUUCUAGGCAUGACCACCA